rnacentral:lncRNA from 10 species
CAACAGUGAGGAGGGACUAUGUUACACGGCUUUUUAUGCCCCAUAAUUCUUAUUGCUAAGCUGAUCUGCUCCGCUUCUUAAUGAUUGCAAAAUUUGGGGUUUGCCACCUUUCCUAGAGGGUAGUGUUCCUAUGUUUCCACCACAUCCCAGGGAAACAGAAAUGCUCUUCAAAGGAUAAAAUUGCUGAUGACAUUGUUCAUGGCAAUUGGGAAUGAAAAGAUUAUAUGGAGAACAAGAAAAAUGCCGAAGGUCUACAUGUAAAUUCAUUAGCUGUCCCUUCUUCUGCCUAUUGGAUCCUGGUUGUCCCAUGGGAAUAUCAGAGUGCUGACUACCAAAAGAGAGGAUCUAAAGGAGACUCCUAGUGACCCUGAAACCCCUUGAGGAACACAAAAGAGGCACCAGUGACUCUCUUUUUCGUGGUCCUGUCUUCCUCAUGGACCCCCAAGAGUUGUGGUUGGGUUACCCUCAGGUAUGAAGCUCUACUGUCUUUUACAUUGAGAUCCCUUUGAUUUUGGGGGGCACCGAUGGUUACUGUAUGCUUUGAAAGGGCACUUGCACUUUGGGUGGGUGGAAACUGAUUAGUCACUGACAGAAUCUCUAAUUUUUAAGGUAACUGACAGUGAUUGCAAUAAAUGGUUAUUACUGCAGGGGCCAGACAGAAACUGACAAUAAAAGGUAAUUUCCUACGAGAAAAGUCAUUGGCUUCAUUGCUAGUGAGAGGAUCUUAAAGAUGGGGCCAUGGGUUGAUAAUGGGCUUAUUUUUGGCAAUUGGUCUCAGAGCCCUUGAAACCAAUGGAUAAGUCACCCAUCAAGCAGUGAGUUCAUCACAGAAUGGGCUAGUUGGCACUGUCACUCACCACCCUACAGGGUACAUUCUUGCUGCUGGAUACCCUGUGGGGGUGCUGCAUGGCCCAGUUUCAUGGCAUUUCCCUGUUUGGAAAUUUGGAAAAUCCAGGGUUCAACAUAAAAAUGGGAUUCUGAAUUUCUGGAAAUCUACGUGCCCCAUCUUCUAACUAUUCCUGCCUUCUGAAUAUG